GGAGAUCUGUAGAUCACUGGCAGAGCAUCUGCUUUGCAAUCAGAAGGUCACAAUUUCAACCCUUGUAAUCUCCA